UCGAUGCGUGUUUUUAUUGUAUUUAAAGUUUUAUUUAUUUAAUAGUAUUGUGAAUUAGUUUCGCUUCUUAAUUUUUUACAGAUCGAUGAUAAACGAGAGGCGGAGAGGACAUGGAAGUUCGUUUUGAUGCUAGCGUAAAAGAAGUUGUUCGAUGUGAUGUUCUUUCUAUAAAUAAUUUUGCAGAUAAUUGAGGAACAUUAUAAAAAUUCUGGAUGCCAUUAAGUUACAGACCGUUGGUUACAUCAGUCCUCCUUCGUUUCAGGGAGUAGCUGUACCUAUAGCCCAAGGGAAUGCACGAAAGUGAUUUUUUUUCCAUUGAGAAUGAAGACAGUAUGUUUUUGCUGAAGGAAGGAUUCAUGACAAUGAAUUGACUGCCCAACAUAUGAGAAGGGGGAGACUGCUGGAAAUUAAUUUGGAAACCGCUGAAACAAUAGAUUGCAGUGGCAUCUCUCCUGGCUUUGGCUUGCUCGUUACACAUUUAGACUUUAGAAUAUUAGUUUCUGCAAUUAAUUAAGUGUAAAUUGUCGUUAUCGUGAAUGUAUGGUAUUCUCACGAUUAUCUAUUGUCUGCAGUAUAAAUUGACGUUACGGCUACAGUACAUCUAUGAUUAUCCAAUAAAUGAGAGAAUUAAUGUUCAGCUUGGUCUUACUGAAACAACCAAAGUCUACAUGGGUGUGGUCUAUUGUGAACUGUUUUCUUGAUUUGCUGUUUUCGUCUUCGCCUUGCAACAUUAUGCAGUUAAUUUUCAACCGAAGAGAGAAGAGCAACUGGAGAUUUAUUUGAAUUCCACUGAAACAACAAAUUUUCUGCUAUGGAUUUGAAUUUGGUUUGCUCUUCACAUCUGCAAACUUUGAAAUGUUACAGUUACAGUUAAUGAAGGUGAGAAUACUUGAUAUAAUUAAUUUUAAUUGCUUUUUAUUAAUCUGUUUGCCACCGUAUCUG